GGAGAGCUUGCUCUGUAGCAGUUUCCUGCGGGGCAGGUGGGACUGCUCCUUUGGGAGGAAGGAGGAGGCCUAGGCCGCGCCUUCAGG
rnacentral:miRNA from 1 species